CGAGUGGAUCCCUUCGGGGUGAAGCUCGUGGAACGAGCGGCGGACGGGUGAGUAACACGUGGGCAACCUGCCUGUAAGAUCGGAAUAACCCCGGGAAACCGGGGCUAAUGCCGGGUAAUACUUUCUUUCGCAUGAAGGAAAGUUGAAAGAUGGCUUCUCGCUAUCACUUACAGAUGGGCCCGCGGCGCAUUAGCUAGUUGGUGAGGUAACGGCUCACCAAGGCGACGAUGCGUAGCCGACCUGAGAGGGUGAUCGGCCACACUGGGACUGAGACACGGCCCAGACUCCUACGGGAGGCAGCAGUAGGGAAUCUUCCGCAAUGGACGAAAGUCUGACGGAGCAACGCCGCGUGAACGAUGAAGGUCUUCGGAUCGUAAAGUUCUGUUGUUAGGGAAGAACAAGUACCGUGCGAAUAGAGCGGUACCUUGACGGUACCUAACGAGGAAGCCCCGGCUAACUACGUGCCAGCAGCCGCGGUAAUACGUAGGGGGCAAGCGUUGUCCGGAAUUAUUGGGCGUAAAGCGCGCGCAGGCGGUUCCUUAAGUCUGAUGUGAAAGCCCACGGCUCAACCGUGGAGGGUCAUUGGAAACUGGGGAACUUGAGGACAGAAGAGGAGAGUGGAAUUCCACGUGUAGCGGUGAAAUGCGUAGAUAUGUGGAGGAACACCAGUGGCGAAGGCGACUCUCUGGUCUGUUUCUGACGCUGAGGUGCGAAAGCGUGGGUAGCAAACAGGAUUAGAUACCCUGGUAGUCCACGCCGUAAACGAUGAGUGCUAGGUGUUAGGGGGCUUCCACCCCUUAGUGCUGAAGUUAACGCAUUAAGCACUCCGCCUGGGGAGUACGGCCGCAAGGGCUGAACUCAAAGGAAUUUGACGGGGGCCCGCACAAGCGUGGAGCAUGUGGUUUAUUCGAGCACGCGAGAACCUUACCAGUCUUGACAUCUGACAUCUAGAGAAUAGACUUCCCUCGGAACAGUGACAGUGUGCAUGGUGUCGUCAGCUCUGUCCUUGAAUGUAGUUAAGUCCGCAACGAGCCACCUAUCUAGUUGCCAGACUCAGUGCACCUU
rnacentral:rRNA from 1 species